UAUAAUGUCACCGUCCAAACCA
rnacentral:siRNA from 1 species